UAAAACCAAACGAAGUUUUUUUUCCUUUAUGUUUUGGAGUGAAAUUUAGGUUUUGGUGCUCUGUAACCUAGUUAACAUUAAAUAAUUAUUUAAUGUGAUUUUAUUUUAUUUUUAAUUAAAUUUACCAUUGUUAUGGUAGAAUAAGGUGCUCAUGUGGAUUCUAUUUGUGGCAGUUUGUUGUUAAUUUGCAUCAGCCAGGCACUUUCGAAAUAUCAAGCAUAAGGAAAACAAAUAAAGUUUCAGGGAAAAAGAUUAUCUAGUCACAAUAGCAGUCAUCCGAUACAGAUGGUCUUCCAAUUUCAUGGCACGCUAUUGACUUCAAUGGGGCUUGUUUUCAAUAUUUUCCUGUAUCCAUUUCUGGUUCCUAGUUUGUAACUAGGUGUUUUCUUUGUAUAAUUCCUCUGAACUUGGGCUUACGCCUAUUUGCCUCACUCAAUAAAAUUUUAUUUUACCUAUCAAAA